ACGCCCUGGGACAUCCCACCACAGACGUCCUUCUGCCUUCAUCUGGGAGAAGUAACAAGCUGACAGUCUCUGCUUCCUCAUGGCACCGAGAGACCUGCUGAAAACUGAUAUCGUUUGGGCUUGUCUUUCUGAAGGACAAGAAGCAUCACAUCCAAGAGAGUCGAACAUGUUCUCUGCACUGCGAUGGGGGUUGGGAGGCACCAGUGGUGGGGAGGCUCUGCCUGCUUGGCAGAGCCAGCUCCUUAACGGGAAGGCAGCAGGGUUUUUGCAAGGCAAGAGAGCUGGGGGAAUGCUCUGAAAACACCACACCUCUGCCUUUUGGCACUUUAAAUCAGCCGAAAAACAUCCUUUGGGGACUGGGUUUGGAAAACUUUUAUCCUUGCAAGUUCUAACAGAAGGUGUGCCACAUAGUUAGGGCUUAGGAAGUAAGCUGCAGGAGGACAUUCUUAAGGAAACGCCGAUGCUCUAGGGAAGAUGGAAGCCACUUGGAAAAGACGAUGAAGGCUAUGAUGGAGACACACACCAACAAUAUGGAGUUGGCAGUAGAGAGGGAAGGUAGAAUGCACAGAAAAGAAAGCCUCAUGGGAAUUAGUACAAGCUGAAAGAAAGGUACAAAUAAAAUGCUCAUGGGUCAAAGAAUGGAAGAACAAUGACAUCCCUUUAGGAGAAAUUACCAAAAGCAUGAUAGAAGAGGUGCAAGCUAGAAGUAGUACUCAGUAAAGCAAAAAGAUGGUCUACUUAAAAUACCACCACCACCACCACUGAAAGGAGCAGUUAUUGGAGUAUGGGGAUAAGAUCAUAGAAUGACCCUGUUCAAAAAUACUGUCUGCUUCUGGGGUCUUCAAUCUCAAGAGCUACUGGAAUUCUCUGAAAGUUGAUGACUUCCCUUUCUACCCAGUUUCUGCUGGUUUUGUGAUAGGAAUGAGGUGGAGUGACGGCUAGUGUCUUCACCUCUGUGAGGAGAACCAGUGGGGAAUAUCCACUCUGGCAGAGGAGAAGAAUGUGGAUUUGGAUCUUAUAUUUGUACAGCAUCCUUCAGGCGAGACGUUCCCAGAAGACUGUGGGAGCCAAUAGUCAAAAUUCCGAUAGAGCUGUGAAACACUAGCUAUCCACAGGCAUCACUAAGAGAGAGAGAGAGAAGAUUUGGUAUCUACUACAGCAGAAUCAACUUCAGCAGAAGCUUUGGAACAGAAUAUAGGAACCUCAUCCAAUCCAUUGAAGACCUGAAGAGCAAAGACUGCAGUUUCCCAGACCAGCAGGAAUUCUGCCUCAAAACUGCAACAUAGAAACCCUGCCUGAAUUGUUAGCCUGUUGCCCUGCCCUACAGAUUUCAGAUUUGCCAUCCCCAGUAAUAUCAUGAGCCAGUUCCUUAAAAUCUCAGCCAAUCUCUAUAUAUUAAGGAACCACCACAUGAUGAUGUUGACUGUCUUUACUAGUGCCCUGUGCAAUCCCCAACUCAGGCUGGAUGCUGAAGCAAAUGCCAAGUAUUGUUUGUGAGACAGGGAUGGGAUUUAGAACCACUGUUGUUUCAAGAACUGGCCUUCUCUGUAAACUGCCUGCUAUUUCAAAGAAAUAGUAUGUCAACCAACAUCAAGCGAAGCUGGCGUUAACAUAAGGAUGAAACAACUGAGGCAAUGAGUGCAUUACCAGAAACUAGGAAUCACUAUGGUGAAGUGGUCCCCACCUACGUAAAAAGGAGCCUUUAAAGAAGACUGUGCAAUUUGCAAAUCUUGGUUGAGAAUGUGCCCUUUGAAAUUCUCCUUUGGAGCUGAAUUUUAUGAUUGCUGAAGAUAGAACCCUAAAUAAUCCCUGUAGUAAUCAUAAGCAUUUUUCCCCCCUGAACCGUGCACAAAUCAAGUUCUAAAUGCCAUUAUAUCCAUUCAUCUCUUUAAAUGCCUUGGGUUUGUCAUUUCAGAACAGAGUUCCCAGCUUGCUUCUUCUUCUCUUCUUUGGUAUUUGUGUUGGUGUUUGGGACAUUUAAAAAUAUUUUUAAAUUUAUGAAGGUAAUAGUAGCAAUACUGAGUUGGCAGCACUGUAUUAAUAAAGAUCAUUUUGUGUAGCUUCAAUAUCCUUUCUUUAAGGAAACAGAAACUCAAAUACUGGGGCCUCCAUUAAUCUUGCAAAUGAAUAGCUUAAAAAAAGGAAAGAAAGGAUACUGUGCAAGCCAUCUUUCUGGACAAAAUUUCAACACUCACACUUUAAAUUACUAACAACUUGUAAUCAACUAUGUGCUGGAUACUGAGAUACAAACAUGUAUAACAGAGGAAGCUUUAACCUAGCCAAGAGAGAGGUUUUGGUAAACUGCUAAUUGCUAUCGAAUGUUAAUAGUACACUAAUUAUGUGGAAAUCCACAUGCAGGGGUUCCCAAAUGUUUUCCAUCCCUAACACACAUGGAGGAUAAGACAUAAUCCCAUCAGUAACAGCUGCUCCUGAAGAGAAAAAUGAGGGGAGAUGGGAGUAAAGAGAAGAGUGUAUGCCAACAUAAUAAAAUGUAACAAAUUUCAUCCACAUGGCAGGAACACAGAAGGUAGGAGAUGAAGAAGGGGGUGUUAAUUGUCUGGAGACCUGGUGGGUCUGGACAUCUUGUAUAUCUGUGGAUAAAGUAAAGAUUCCUGUGGCCAGGAUUCUCACCUGACCCUGGUCAGCUAGCUCACUACACACAUGUGGGCAAUGUGUCAUUAUAGACUCUAUAUAAAGAGCCCUGCCUAGUGCUCUGGGCAACAUGGUGGCAGGGCUGCAAGGCUGCAGGAGAGCAGAGCAGAGGCUGGAGUGGUGGCAGUGCCAAGGACAGAGACCCAGAGGACUGCUGUGUGGGCAGAGAGGCCCAGAGGCAGAAAUUGGCUUGCUGCAUGCAGACUCGCUCUGAGUGGAUGGGA